AACCAGCAGAAGGCUGUUACGCGCGGAUCCCAGGCAAAACGCAGCCCUCCUCCCGCCCAACCGACCGAGGGGCGUUGCCGCAUGACUCGCGGCGCGUAGCCGAACCGAACGCGAGCAUGUCGAAAACCGUGGAGCUAAAUUGGCGCGGCAGGAUCUCCAGGCGGGAGCUGGCCGAUAUUUAGGCGGAACAAUAUCGGACUAAAAACUUCGUACAAACUAGGAAAGAACCAAGAAGAAUUCCCCAGUAUUGGCACUUAUUGCCUGGGAAUCGGUGGCCGGGGGCCAGGGCAGCGGCAACAGUAACGCUUGAUGUUUUUUUGGGACUUAAGUAAUAUACUCAGAAUAUCCUUGAGACCGCGAUUCAUGAUCAGAUUGGCUAUGCUACGAAUUUCUUCACGCUCAUCUCCGUCAGCGGGCUAUCACUCGAGGCACCAACCCCUCAUGAUACAUAUUGGCGAUCUUAAAAAUACAACAAAAUGUCUGAAGUUUUCGCCAAAACUCAAUAUCAAUAUGUAUGUAAAUUCGACAUUGCCCAAAAUAUUCAUUUAAAUUGGAGAAACGAACAGAAAAAGGCGUAGAUCAUUCUUUUCACAGGAUUUUGUGGGUAUAUUUUGUUGUUGCUUUUUUUUAAUUAUCAUACCGCAUAUAUUUACUUAUUUACAUUACGAUACCGUUUCUUAAAACGAAUUCUCUCCGAUUUCCUCAACUCAGUUUUUCCCGGGACUUACAAAUGAUCAAUUAAAAAUUAUAUUAAAAUAUUUUAAUGUUUUCCAUGUGUAUAUAUUUAUGUAGUUAUGUAUAUAUAAAACAUGCGUAUAAUCAUCAUAACUCUCUAUUAUCGCCACUGUGCAUCUGAUCCUCUUCUUCUAUUCUUUUCUCUAUCUCUUUCUUAUCGGUAGCUAUAGGUUUUUUCAUUUACGUUUCUAAAUAGUUUCUGUUUUCUGUAUUUUGUUGGUGUACUGCUGUUGUGGCUCUUGCUUCUGUGUUUCGAUCGCGAAUUCCUUGGAUAAAUCUAUAAAUGAAGAACAAAAACUAACACAAACUAGUAAUGCGGUCCUCAUUAUCAUUAUCAUCUCCUUUUUCUCCCUUCUUUCCUCUACUUGUUCCGUAUUCUUUCCUUUCCACUGCUUCCAAAAAUAUCUAAGCAGAUGAUGCUUUCUCUUGAUUUUUAAUAUAUAUGUAUAUUAUAAUAUAGUUUACUCUCAUUCUUCUUCUUUGCGCUAUCCCCGUUCUCUCUCUCUCUUUACAUUUUCACAACAUAAUUAUUACAUAAUUAUCGGUUACUAAUUAUACUUAUAAAUAUAUAUAUAUAUAUGUAUCUCAUGUAUGCAUCAAGAAACAAUAGUUGCAAAUAAAAUGACUAAAAAUACAAUUAAAUUGAAAUUUACAAUUCCGUCGCCUGCAAUGUACUGGCAUGUGUAUGGGAUGGUCCUUGUUCUUUUUGGAUUGAUUCGAGGAUUACCUACUGUACACUACUACACUGCCCGAAGACCACACUCUGACGACGAAGAUGAUGAUCCUUCAAUCCGGAUCCCUGAUUUUCUAUGUUUUUCAUUCGCUUUCGGCUUGCCUGCGCCCAUCAUAUAAUCAAUUAACAAAAAAACUAGCAUAAAAAA